UUUAAAACUCAAUUCUGUUGUUGUCCCUUUAAUUAUGUGAUGGUGAAGUGUUUCACCGUAACAUAAUUUUGGGGGCUCGUCCGGGAUCGCCUGUCGGUGAAAAAUCCGGAAUCCAUAGACUUUUGUGAGUUCAGGUGAGAACGUCAAUUGUUUUGGCUAUAGUUUUGUGCAGUCUCUGGCAAGGAAGAGUGCUCCAGCUGGGUUUGCCAUAUUAAUCUUUUGAAACCUUACUUUUCUUCUUUGUCAGUUGCACCUCUUGGGUUAAUUGCUACCACGCCUCUAGGGGUCUCUAGUGACCUAGACCAUGUGUUUUCCUCAGGGGAUAACAAUUCUGAAAGUCUUGAUUCUGUCAGUGAGGAGUCCAGCGAGGGUGUGAGAGCUCCAUCACAGGCGAUCAUAGAGGGUCGCCUGCGAAAUUCAGAGUUCCUGGCAGAAUUACCUUCACAUCUUUCCCAUCUGAAUGAUGUGGAGAAAGCAGAUAUCAUUGGUUUGGUUGAAUCUUUUCCUGCUCUUUUCCCUGAUGUUCCUACCCGUACAUCUGUGAUUGAGCAUGAUAUUGACGUUGGGGGGGCUUCGCCAAUAAAACAACACGCCUAUCGUGUUAAUCCUAGAAAGAAGGAAUUAUUACAGAAAGAAGUGGACUAUUUGUUAGCCCAUAAUCUGGCUGAACCUAGUUUUAGUGCAUGGAGUUCACCCUGUUUGUUAGUGAACAAACCGGAUGGCACUUUUCGUUUCUGCACUGACUAUAGGAGACUUAAUUCAGUUACAAAGCCAGACUGCUAUCCAUUACCCCGAUGUGAUGAUUGUAUAGACCGAGUUGGCUUAGCAAAAUUUGUGAGCAAAUUUGACCUUCUUAAAGGGUACUGGCAGGUCCCUUUAACAUUCAGGGCUAAGGAGUUAUCUGCGUUUGUUACGUCUGAUAAUUUCCUGCAGUACCACGUCAUGCCAUUUGGGGUCAGAAAUGCUCCCGCCACUUUCCAGAGGCUCGUUAACCGGGUCUUGGCAGGUAUGCGGGGUUGUGAUGCGUACAUAGAUGAUGUGGUCCUAUAUAGUACCAGCUGGACUCAUCAUUUAGACCAAAUCAACAAACUCUUUACUCGUCUUGCUGCCGCUAAUCUUACAGUAAACCUUGCCAAGUGUGAGUUCGGUAAGGCUAGUGUUACCUAUCUUGGUAAGAUAGUUGGGAGGACAAGUUCGGCCUGUAGGAGCUAAGAUUGAAGCCAUAUGUAACUUUACUGUACCUGGAACGCGCCGAGAGCUCCGGAGGUUUCUUGGUAUGGCAGGUUACUACAGGGCCUUUUGUAAAAACUUUUCUUCUGUUGUUACACCUUUGACAAACCUCCUUAGCCCUAAAGUGCAAUUUGAUUGGUCUAGGAAAUGUCAGGAAGCUUUUGAGAAUGUUAAGCUCUUGCUUCUUCCCCUGUGCUGUCGGCCCCAAACUUUGACAGUGUAGCUGUUGAUGCCAGUGGGAGUGGCGCUGGUGCAGUUUUGUUACAGUUGGGAUCCGAUGCGUAGAGCACCCCGUAGGAUAUUUUUCUAAAAAGUUUAAUCGUCAUCAGCAAGUUUACUCCACAGUGGAGAGAGAAGCACUUGCUUUAAUUCUUGCUGUUCAACAUUUUGAGGUCUACUUGGGCUCAUCUUCGAGUCCAAUAGACGUUUUUACUGACCACAACCCGCUGGUGUUCAUUGAUCGUAUGCGGAACCAGAAUCAACGCAUUAUGCGCUGGAGCUUAAUUCUACAGCAAUACCCGCUGAAAAUCCAACACAUCAGGGGCAAAGACAAUAUUGUGGCAGAUGCGUUGUCCCGUUGUUGAAAUUACUUUUUGUUUUUCUUCUAUCUCUACCUUGUGACUGUCGAGUUCCGGGGUUUCACUGUUUUUCCUAGUCCUAGGGCCCAGGAUCUAGGAAGAGACAGUGUUGUGGGUUUGAACUCUUGAUUUCUGUUUGGUUAUUUGAGGUUUAGACAAACCUCUUUUUAGUGGGGGAGGUGUGACGACCCCCUGCACCCCCUUAAGGCUCUUUGAUGCCACUACAGGGCUACUACUUAGGGCAGCAGCUUUUAGGCUGCAGUUUGUACAGCGUUACCUUUCCUGCCAUGAUGAUGUCGUCUGGAGGCAGCGUGGACACUUUUUAAAUGGGACCGACUGGGGCCUGCAACCUCUCUUUUCUGGCUCCUGGAGGAGCCCCUGGUGUGUGGGGCCCGGCUGGACAUACAAGGCGACAGCAGCCCUGGCCUCCCCAGCGCCUUCGCUCCAGGGGGUCGGUCAGGCUGAGGCAGGUGGUGGACGUGGCAGGGCCCGGGCUACACAACACGCAGGCUGUGGCCUCUCUCCUGGGCCUGAGGUCCAGCCGGCACACCAGACACAUCCUGAACCAGUGGAGUAACAGGCUGAGCGCAGAGGAGCAUGAGAUGCUGAGGGAGUACAGCAGCGGGGCGGAGGUACCGGACGAGGGAGAUCCGUUCCCGGAACUCAGUCUGUCCGUGGACCAGAGCGGGCUGGACAAACCAAUGGGCAUUUCUAAGUCCAUGUUGGAUAUACAAAUGCUUCCGGGGAAAACCUUAUACAAGUACUGUGUGGUGGCUGUACACAAAGAAAAACUGAGCACCCACAGAGACAGUGUGGAAACAGAGGCUGCAGGGCCGGGCGUAAGUGUGGAGGCUUCUCUACAAGCCUCCACUAAACAAAAGGACAGGAGACCUGCAAUGGAGGAUCCUGCAGGGGGCGCUGGCUGUCAGUUUUUCUGUUUCCAAAAUCAACCCCACUGUCAGAGACUUGUCCCUUCCGUGACCAACCUGAAACCCUGGUUCACUGCUAUCUUGAGUGUUUUAUUCCACGUUUAAUGUGUGGAGAGGUGUGGUCGGAGGCUGGUUUUAUUGGUGGUGCUGGUUAUGACAAAAAAGAUUUAAAGAAAUGGUGUCUGUUAAAUUAUGUGGUGGGUCAAGCGAAAAUGGCAAUCUACAAAACCAGGAAAAACCAAGUAGAGGGGGAGGCAGGCCUUGGGCUAAGGGAGAUGUUUUGCGUGCUGGUCAAGGCCAGGAUAAAGAUAGAUCACAGGUAUCAUGAGCUAAUGAACACGAUGAAGGAUUUUACAGAUGUUUGGUGCUUCACCACAGCUGUGUGUUUGAUACACGAGGGAAAGCUCUCUUUUAAUGUGCAUUUUAUUUAUUAUUAAUUUUCCCUGUCUAAACCAAAGAUUGCUUGCAUAAAAUGACAAAUUUCUUUUGUUGAAAGAAACUGAAAAUAAACUUUUUCCAAAAAUCUCCCUCUAUCCCCCUCUCCAUCUCCAUCUCCCUCUCUCUCUCUCUGGAAGUUUAAUUGGGUUUAUUACAAUGAUGGACAUUGCUGUUAGCCAAUCAGAGGUGAGACAUUUGCAUGUCAUGAACAUGAAUAUAUAUCUUUUGCACCAAAACCGACUCAGAGGGCAUUCAUUGCCAUUAGUGAUCAACACAAAAUAAAUGAAAAUCGAUGCAUUGACAUCUUUAAGCAAUGUAACACGUGUGAAUGGGG
ensembl:lncRNA